AGGGUUGCUCCCUGCGCUUCCGAGUGGCGACUGCAGCGGGUCCGGUGCAGGUGAGGGGCGCGCGCCUGCCCAGCUUUGCAGCCCCCGAACGCGGCCUCGCACAGGUGAGGGCGGUGCCGGGUUCACCUGGCAGCGCGCGUGGGCCGGGCAGCACGGUCGCCGCCUGGGGGUGGGCGUCUUCUCUCAACCGAAGCUGGGAGUUGGGGAGCUGGAGGGUCCAGGAUGAGAAUUCAGUGGCGCUACUACCCCGGAGCUGCUUGUGGUUCAGAGAUCAGAAAGGUGUCCUGAGGACUGGAGGCAGAAAUCCAGGCGUGGCGUACUGGAAGGCGCACUAGGGGAGGGCAGCCUGGCCCAGAAUUUCUUUGCAUUUUAAAGGCCACACAUUCAGUCUCCCCGGGGCGCUACGGAGGUAGUCACCGCCACAUCCAGGACUCCUUCCACAGAGGAGUCAUUGCAGUUUUCAGUAGAGGUGUACUUCUGAGAAGUGGCUUCUUGGGUCUUCAUGCAGCCAUGGAUCUGGAUAAACCAUCUGUUUGGGGCUCAUUAAAACAGCGGACCAGGCCAUUGUUGAUCAACUUGAGCAAGAAGAAGGUGAAAAAGAACCCAAGUAAGCCCCCAGAUCUACGGGCAAGGCAUCACUUGGACCGCCGUCUCAGCCUCUCUGUGCCUGAUCUCCUGGAGGCUGAGGCCUUGGCCCCAGAGGGCCGGCCUUACUCCGGGCCACAGUCUUCCUACACCUCGGUGCCCAGCAGUCUGUCCACUGCAGGGAUCUUUCCCAAGAGCAGCAGUAGCUCCUUGAAACAGUCUGAAGAAGAAUUGGAUUGGAGCCAGGAAGAAGCCAGUCACCUCCAUGUGGUGGAAACAGACUCAGAGGAGGCCUAUGCCUCUCCUGCUGAGCGGAGACGGGUGUCCAGCAACGGCAUCUUUGAUCUUCAGAAAACUUCCCUUGGAGGGGAUGCACCAGAAGAGCCAGAGAAGCUAUGUGGAAGCAGUGACCUGAAUGCUUCUAUGACAUCUCAACAUUUUGAAGAACAAUCUGACAGUCAAAAGUUUGAAAUGACUCAAAAAUUUAAUUGGGCUCAUGUAAUACAUAUUCAAAAACAGACUUGAAUUCUACAAUAUGGCCAGCAGGAGUUGAUGCAUUUCUGGAGGAGGAAGUGACUGAGUUGCGGGAAGGUACCGGGGGAAGCCAGUGAUGGCUUGAGUAACCUCCCCAGCCCUUUUGCGUACCUCCUCACCAUACACCUGAAGGAAGGCCGGAACCUGGUUGUCCGAGAUCGCUGUGGCACAAGUGAUCCUUAUGUGAAAUUUAAGCUGAAUGGGAAGACGCUGUACAAAAGUAAAGUCAUAUAUAAGAACUUGAACCCAGUAUGGGAUGAGAUAGUUGUAUUGCCAAUCCAAAGCCUUGAUCAAAAGCUACGUGUGAAGGUAUAUGAUCGAGAUUUAACCACAUCUGAUUUCAUGGGUUCUGCAUUUGUCAUUCUCAGUGAUCUUGAGCUUAACAGAACAACUGAACAUAUUUUAAAACUGGAAGAUCCAAACAGUUUAGAAGAUGACAUGGGAGUGAUCGUGUUAAAUUUGAACCUAGUGGUAAAACAGGGUGAUUUCAAGAGACACCGUUGGUCAAAUCGGAAGCGAUUAAGUGCCAGCAAGUCCUCUUUGAUACGCAACCUACGGCUCUCUGAGUCCUUGAAAAAGAACCAACUCUGGAACGGGAUUAUAAGUAUAACUUUGUUGGAAGGGAAGAAUGUCUCAGGAGGAAGCAUGACAGAGAUGUUUGUCCAGUUAAAACUGGGAGAUCAGAGGUAUAAAAGUAAGACACUGUGUAAGAGUGCAAAUCCGCAGUGGCAGGAACAGUUUGACUUUCACUACUUCUCUGACAGGAUGGGCAUUUUGGACAUUGAAGUGUGGGGAAAGGACAACAAAAAGCAUGAGGAACGUCUGGGCACGUGUAAAGUGGAUAUCUCGGCACUCCCUCUGAAGCAAGCCAACUGCCUGGAGCUGCCACUGGACAGCUGUCUGGGGGCUCUCCUUAUGUUGGUCACACUUACACCCUGUGCGGGGGUCUCCGUCUCUGAUCUGUGUGUCUGCCCCUUAGCAGACCUCAGCGAAAGAAAGCAGAUUACCCAGCGAUAUUGCUUACAGAACUCCCUGAAAGAUGUGAAAGACGUCGGCAUUCUACAAGUGAAGGUUUUAAAGGCAGCAGAUCUCUUAGCGGCAGAUUUCUCAGGGAAGAGUGACCCAUUUUGCUUGUUGGAGUUAGGCAAUGACCGACUUCAGACGCAUACCGUCUACAAAAACCUCAACCCUGAAUGGAACAAAGUUUUUACAUUUCCCAUUAAAGAUAUCCAUGAUGUUUUGGAAGUGACAGUGUUUGAUGAAGAUGGAGAUAAACCCCCAGAUUUUCUUGGAAAAGUUGCCAUUCCCUUGCUGUCCAUUAGAGAUGGACAACCGAAUUGUUAUGUACUAAAGAAUAAAGAUUUAGAACAAGCUUUUAAAGGAGUUAUUUACUUAGAGAUGGACCUUAUAUAUAAUCCGGUGAAAGCAAGUAUUAGGACUUUUACUCCCCGGGAAAAGCGCUUUGUUGAAGACAGCCGCAAGCUGUCCAAAAAGAUCUUAUCAAGAGAUGUGGACCGUGUGAAAAGAAUCACUAUGGCAAUAUGGAAUACAAUGCAGUUCCUUAAAAGCUGCUUCCAGUGGGAAUCCACAUUAAGAAGUACAAUAGCAUUCGCGGUAUUUUUGAUCACUGUCUGGAAUUUUGAACUAUAUAUGAUCCCCUUGGCAUUGUUGCUGAUCUUUGUCUACAAUUUCAUCAGACCUGUGAAAGGCAAGGUCAGCAGCAUCCAGGACAGCCAGGAGAGCACAGACAUAGAUGACGAGGAGGAUGAAGAUGACAAGGAAUCUGAGAAAAAGGGGUUGAUUGAAAGAAUCUAUAUGGUACAGGAUAUUGUUUCAACUGUUCAAAACGUCUUGGAGGAAAUAGCUUCUUUUGGAGAAAGGAUUAAGAACACAUUUAACUGGACGGUCCCCUUCCUUUCAUCUCUGGCCUGUUUGAUUCUGGCAGCAGCCACCAUCAUUUUGUAUUUCAUUCCACUGCGGUACAUCAUUUUAAUCUGGGGCAUAAAUAAAUUUACUAAGAAGCUUCGAAAUCCCUAUUCCAUCGACAAUAAUGAGCUACUAGACUUCCUCUCUAGGGUACCGUCUGAUGUUCAAAAGGUGCAGUAUGCAGAAUUGAAACUCUGCAGCAGCCACAGCCCCCUGCGGAAGAAGCGCAGCGCUCUCUAGGGCACACACCGACUUUGGACAGCAGCACCCAAUAUUGUGUUUGGUUGAGUAGACCAAUGUUAUGGCUGUUUCAGUGGUACCCAAGGUGUCCUUCUGAAAUGCAUGCCCUGUGGCACCCUCUGUAUACUUCCUCCUCCUUCACGUGCACAGACAUACACACAUGUGCACACACCCUCAUGCAUGGGUGUCCUAGUUGCGUAGAGGGUCAGCCCAGCGAAAAGCAACAACCCCAAGACUGUGAAAGACUAACAUCCAUUCUGAAAUAGGAGAUAACAAGGCUGCCAUGGAUCUGAACACCACCUUCCUUGAGAACAGCCAGGAGCCCACUUGGAUUCAAGAGUGACUUUGAACUUGUUUUCACACCUCCAACAGACUCUCAUUAAGAUUCAGUUAUUUCCGCUCCCCAGCCCCACACUCCUUUCAGAUUAUCGUUCAUGGGCGUAAGUCUCUUCUCAGAGUUAACAAGUCUUUGGUAGUCAUCCUCUGUCCAAAUAUUGUAUAUUAUUAAAAGGCAUUUUUAAUAAUUACCAGAAUUAGCUCAAACCUUUAGGGAUCUUUCAGCCAUGAUUAUUAAGGAUAUGUAUGUGAAUUUUUGGGAAACCUCUCGGUGCUGGAUGCCAGCCUACAGCAGGGUCCAUUGCUGGCAAUGGAUGGCCCAGGAAGGUCCCUAGAGAUCACUCACUUGAAAAAUGAGGGUCCCAUGAAAGUAUUUGGUUGCCUUCUGAUGCCACUUCUUCUCACUUUACUUUUUGCUUAUUUUCAAAAUAUUAUAAAAUGUCAACAUAUAAUUUCAGAAAGGCAGGUGGGGGUAGGGGAGAAAUGAAUGAAUAAAUUCUCUAGGUAUUUAGAAAGAUAAGAAACUGAAGACCGAGAGACUAAUAAGGCUGCUUACCUAAUUAUUAUAAUCAUUUCAUUUGCCUGAAUGUUUUAAGCAGGAAGUAGAAAUACUUUGGCUGCCCAAAUGUAUCUUUUGUUCCUCUUAGAAGUAAAAUAAGCUACAUACAAUAAAAAUUUAUUUCAGAACCCCAUUUCUAGAAAAUACCACCCCAGAGUCCUCAUUUGAUAGCAUCUGUCUCCUGCAGACCUCAUCAUUCCACAGUAUUUCCCUGCCAUGUAAAAAUCCUGACUUUGUGCGUAUAUAAAAUGUAUGCAAUUAAGUCUGUUUAAAUGAUAUUUAAGUUUUAAAGACUGUAUUUUGUUGACACAUACUUUGUGCAGUUUUUAUGUAUGUAUGUAUUAUAAAAAAAGUUAAGGUUAAAAAGAUCUCAUUUAAUAGUGAGUUCACUAUUUUUUUUUUUUUGUCUCUGGGUUGUAAUUUAAUAAUCUUCAAACAAAAUGUUUACGAAAAAUGCCAAAGAUUCUAAAUCUUAUCAUCCCGUGUCUGUUUUUCUUCAUGUUGUAUCUCACUGGGUUGCUUUCUGGCUGAGCCAGAAUUCUGCAUGAUUUGAUUUACUUCAAGUUAAUGAAGCUGGCUGGAAAAGAGCCUUGCAGAAAUUAUAAAAGCUCCAGUAAAUCUCGUAGUUGUACAUACAAUAGAUACCCAAGAACCUCUUUUGUUAAACCAGUUACUCAAUCUUCUGUGUAAACAAUGCCUCAUUGUCUUGCUUCUAACUAUCAUCUAGUUUAUCAUAGUCUGUCAUUUUGUAACGACCUAAGUCAGACAUUUUUAAACAGACAUGUGAGAUCUGAUCAGUCAUUUGAAUGAAAACUUUCAGCAGCAAAAUAACCCCUUAUUUAUUUAAAAGUGGAACCAAUACUUUAUUGUUGUUCUUUUGCUAUAGAAUUUCAAAAUGAAAUUAUUUGCCCGACAAGAAGGCAUCAUUAGUUAGACUUGUUUCCUCUGUAGCCCGAUUGAAAUUCUCAGUGUUAAGUUUAGGACCCAAACACCAGCUGGGACGUAAGAGCAGGACCGAAUCAACCUUGAAUAAACUGUAUAUAGAAAACAAUUGUUAGUUGAUUAAGUAGACAUUGGAUGUUUGUUAGAAAGGAAUGUUAGUUGUAAGUGACAUGUUAAGAUUUAUACAAUUGUCAAAAACUUUUAGGAAAGAUUCCAGAAUGCUUUUGAUAAAAUUUAUCGAUUGUGGAUUCACAGUGUGAUAAUUAAGUAGGGAUGUUGAAGUCUUGCCAAGUUUUCCUGGUUCCCUUCUCAAACUUUAUCUUCCCAUUUCUAGCCCUGUCUCUCUAUCUUACAGGCAUCUACACCUCAGCAAGUCAGAAACUAAACAUCAUCUGUCUCUCCCUGUCUUCAGAACCCCAACCCUCAUAAUCUCCUUCCAGCUUCCUUAUUUCCCUUACCAGGACUGGCAUUUUCUGGGCUUGGAAUUUCUCGGUCAUCCUCUUUUUUUUUGUUCCUCGUGCUGUUGUCCUCGUCUCCCAACCCCUAAAGCCUAGUAGGUCCAGUGUCAAUGCAUUAACCACUUCUGUUCUGAUUUCCACCACCCAAGUGGAGGCCUUCAUAACCUCUCAGACGUCACGGCCAUGAUGCCAGUUACAUUAUGCCUAGUUAAUCUUCAUUCAGACUGGAAGGACCUGCCCCCAGUUGUUUCUUUCUGAAUAGAUUCUACUCUCCUUCAACACUUCCAAAGUCUCCUGCCCCAAAGAGGCUUAGUUAGUCCUGUGGCUGGAUGUGACUCCAACUUCCUUUUUUGUACCAUCACAUCUUUCAUAUCUUUCUGGCAUCUGCCAUACAUCAUAAGAGGCUUUGACCACUGUCCUCCACUGAAUAGCCCAUUACAGCUAGCACCUAAUAGUUACUCAGGAAAUAAAUACAUGUUUAACAGGCCAGGUCGUAGAGAUUAUUUUUCUUUCUCUGCCUUUUCAUGUGCUGCUUUCAGAACAGAGGGCUGGAUUGGAUAGAUUAGUAUGAUCUAUCCUGGAGAUUCAUUUCUUGCAUUAAGAGCUUAUUUUGUGUGAUAUUAUUUAUAAUCCCUGACUAUGUCAAUUAUAAACUUUUAAAUUAUGUCUUAUAUUUGAAGUUCUUACCUACAUAUCAGAGGAAAAUAUAAUGUUUAUUUCUAGGUGGUAAAACAAUCUUCUGGAUUCUUUUUUCUUUACUUGUAAAUUAUCAUUUAACAAGUCUAUAUUGAAUGCCGAUAAUUUUCUGGAACAAAACAGACUACAUUCCCUUGGUAAAGCCAGACAUUAAACAGAUACUUUCAAGCAACAGCAUGCCAUGCUCAGAUUUAAGUUUGAAAAAUAUUCUAGCUGCAAUGGAUAGCCUAGCAAUUUUCAAAGUUUAGAGAAGUUAUUAAUAUUAGCCCUUUGUAGUACUCCUGAUAAAUGAAUAACACCCUGGACUUUCAAAUAGUGGCACUGGGAAAAAAGUAAGUAGAAUUGAGAGAUGGUGAAGAGAUAAAGUGAGCAGGACUUAACAAUUGCUGGACUAUGGGAUGAGGGAGCGUAGAGUCAAGGAUGGCUCUCAGUCCCUAGGUCUCCAGGUCUAGGAAGAUGGUGUUACCUUUCACUAAGGGAGAGAACUGUAAGAACUGCUGUGAGAGGACCACAGGAGUCCAGUUUUAGCGCUGAAUCUCAGGUGACUGAAAAGCAUCCAAAUAGGAAUGUCAGCAAGGUAAUGGAAUAUAUAGUUCUCAGAGAAGUAACACACUGUACUUGAGAUGUACACAAGUUAAAGGCAAACAUUGUAUAUGAAAAGUGAUCAAAACUACAUGCUUCAAGAAAUUAAACCUUGAAGAACUCAACAGUUAAUGUCAUAUAUAGAAAGGCAAGUCAGUUAAGAGUGUAAAUAGAAACGGGUAAAUACAGAGGAGAAAAACAGUAAGCAUGGACUGUCCUAGAAUUCAGUGGCAGAGCAUACUGCAAGAAAGCUGAUGUGGUCAAUAAUAUCAAAUGCCGCUGAGAUCACAUAAGUACAGAAUCAUGACCUUAAUGGUUUGACAGUUUGGAAGCACCCUGGCAACAAGCCAUUUCAGUGGAAUGGUAGAAAUGGAAACCACGCUGGGUUGAGAAGUGAGUGGAUGUGAAAAUAUGGGGCCUCUGAAUGGAGGUAACCCUUGAAAAAUUCCACUGUGGAGAAGAAAGGAGAGAGAGAGGGCUGGAAUUUGGAAUGAAAGGAGAUAUUUGGGAUUAUUUUAGUAAGAAAACAGAGGUGUCAUGACCUCAGUGUAACCCUAUUAGCUGCAAAAAAUUCUUCAUGGGCUUGAGAUGGAGUUAGCCAUAUUCAUUAUUGAAAACUAUGUUCUGCACUUAUACAUUGUUGGUUGGAGUGUAAAUUAGUUCAACCGCUGUGGAAGACAGGGUGGGUGUUUCCUCAAAAACCUAAAGACAGAAAUACCAUUUGACCCAGCAAUCCCAUAACUGGGUAUGUACCCAAAGGAAUAUAAAUUGUUCUACUAUAAAAACACAUGCACACACAUGUUCACUGCAACACUAUUUACAAUAGCAAAGACACUGGAUCAGUCUAAAUGCCCAUCAUUGAUAGAAUGGAUAAAGAAAAUGUGGUAGAGGUACACCAUGGAAUACUAUGCAGCCAUAAAAAAGAAUGAGAUCAUGUCCUUUUGCAGGAACUUGGAUACAGCUGGAGGCCAUUAUCCUUAGCAAACUAAUGCAGCAACAGAAAACCAAAUACCACAUGUUCUCAUUUAUAGGUAGGAGUUAAAUGAUGAGAACACAUGGACAUGUAGAAGGGAACAAAAUACACUGGGGGCUAUUGGAGGGUGAAGGGUGAAAGGAGGAAGAGGAUCAGGAAAAAUAAUGAGUACCAGGCUUAAUACAUGGGCGAUGAAAUAAUCUGUAUGACAAGCCUCUCUGACACAGUUUACCUAUGUAACAAACCUGCACAGUUACCCCUGAACUUUAAAAAAAACUAUGUUCUAUCAAAACCUGCCUCUCAUUUAUGUAUUAGGAAUCUUGUGACAACGGAACAGUUGAAAAAUUAAAAUAAAAAUUGCCUGAAAAUGCA